GGGUAACCUGCCUGUAAGACUGGGAUAACUCCGGGAAACCGGGGCUAAUACCGGAUAACUCAGUUCCUCGCAUGAGGAACGGUUGAAAGGUGGCUUUUCGCUACCACUUACAGAUGGACCCGCGGCGCAUUAGCUAGUUGGUGAGGUAACGGCUCACCAAGGCGACGAUGCGUAGCCGACCUGAGAGGGUGAUCGGCCACACUGGGACUGAGACACGGCCCAGACUCCUACGGGAGGCAGCAGUAGGGAAUCUUCCGCAAUGGACGAAAGUCUGACGGAGCAACGCCGCGUGAGUGAAGAAGGUUUUCGGAUCGUAAAACUCUGUUGUUAGGGAAGAACAAGUGCCGUUCGAAUAGGGCGGCACCUUGACGGUACCUAACCAGAAAGCCACGGCUAACUACGUGCCAGCAGCCGCGGUAAUACGUAGGUGGCAAGCGUUGUCCGGAAUUAUUGGGCGUAAAGCGCGCGCAGGUGGUUUCUUAAGUCUGAUGUGAAAGCCCACGGCUCAACCGUGGAGGGUCAUUGGAAACUGGGGAACUUGAGUGCAGAAGAGGAAAGUGGAAUUCCAAGUGUAGCGGUGAAAUGCGUAGAUAUUUGGAGGAACACCAGUGGCGAAGGCGACUUUCUGGUCUGUAACUGACACUGAGGCG
rnacentral:rRNA from 2 species